AGAGUUUGAUCCUGGCUCAGAAUCAACGCUGGCGGCGUGCCUAACACAUGCAAGUCGAACGAGAAAGUGGAGCAAUCCAUGAGUACAGUGGCGACCGGGUGAGUAACACGUGACUAACCUGCCCUAGAGUGGGGGAUAACCUCGGGAAACCGGGGCUAAUACCGCAUAACAUCGCGAGGGGAAGUUCCUUGCGAUCAAAG
rnacentral:rRNA from 1 species